rnacentral:rRNA from 1 species
GUACUGAGACACGGACCAGACUCCUACGGGAGGCAGCAGUGGGGAAUAUUGCGCAAUGGGCGCAAGCCUGAUGCAGCAACGCCGCGUGAGGGACGAAGGCCUUCGGGUUGUAAACCUCUUUUAGCAGGGAAGAAGCGAAAGUGACGGUACCUGCAGAAAAAGCACCGGCUAACUACGUGCCUGCAGCCGCGGUAAUACGUAGGGUGCAAGCGUUGUCCGGAAUUAUUGGGCGUAAAGAGCUCGUAGGCGGUUUGUCACGUCUGCUGUGAAAUUUCGAGGCUCAACCUCGAACUUGCAGUGGGUACGGGCAGGCUAGAGUGCGGUAGGGGAGAUGGGAAUUCCUGGUGUAGCGGUGGAAUGCGCAGAUAUCAGGAGGAACACCAAUGGCGAAGGCACAUCUCUGGGCCGUAACUGACGCUGAGGAGCGAAAGCGUGGGGAGCAAACAGGAUUAGAUACCCUGGUAGUCCACGCCGUAAACGGUGGGUGCUAGCUGUGGGCCACAUUCCACGUGGUCCGUGACGAAGUUAACACAUUAAGCACCCCGCCUGGGGAGUACGGCCGCAAGGCUAAAACUCAAAGGAAUUGACGG